CUCAACAAGAAAUUUCGAAAUCAACAAACAAAAAUACGAUAAAAAAGAAGAGAACACGAAUUUCGCCUGUUUCGCUGUGGAUUCGUUUAGUGCCGCAAGAGAAACAAACAGUUGCUUUUUCCGUCGCAGUAAAUUCAUUCGUUUCACGGAUCACUGUGUAGCUAUGCAUAUAUGGCCAGGUGGGAAAAGCACGAAACUAGUUUGAAAUGGCCAACUACGAUGGUACGUAUGGACGUUUGAAUAUUCGCACAGUGGAUAAAUUCCCGGCGACGAGGACUCGUUCAAGCAUGUCAACUCUUUAUCUUAAACCGUUUUAAUUACGAUGGGACACGGAGUGGAAUCCGCUAAGUCGAUAUGUGCAGAUGGCAUUGACGUGCAGCUCAAUACAACUACAAUCACGUGAAUGAAGUAAGUCUGUUCGUGGCUCCUUAUUCUACUGCGAGAGUCCUUGCGUUUUGAGUAUUCUCAGAAGAAUCAUAAUGCAACGAAACGUAGCUAUUACCACGCUUUUUAGCUUCAAUAAUUCUUAUACAAGGUAUUUUCUAUUUUGUCGUUAAAAAGGUAAGGGAAUUUUCAAGCGAAAAUAAGAGAAAUCUGUUGUAGCGAAUUUCACAGUAAACGCUUUAUUACAAAGUUAUCAGCCAAUAUCGAACACAGUUUGAAAUAUAAAAUAUGCGCAUGGGAACAAAUUUGUUGUUGCAGAAUAUAUAAAAGUAACAACGCAGGAAGAAUUAACACAACUAAUUAAUAAGUUAGUUGUUUAUAUUUGAUAAUAUUCUCGCGAUAUCUUCAAUAUAAUAAAUUUGAUUUAUUUAUUUAUGAUUUAUGACGAGUUGGUCGACUAUUUUUACACAUUUACAUUUGUGGGAAUUUUCAAGCUGCAAAAAUACACAGAAUAUAAAACAUAAAAAAUGUAUUUGAGUAUUUUAUUUACAAGUUCAUGUCAGGUCUUACUAACGAAAUGUUGUUAUUUGUUAUAUUUAAUAAAUAAAAUAAUUCUCUA